CCUCAAGAUGAGAUUUCCCAUUUCUUUAAGAAAGUAAGACCACUGAGAGAUGAUCAGGUAGAUAGGUUGGAAGUGGAAGGCUAGUGAUAGUUGUAGCGGACCAAUACUAAUCGGUCGAGGACUUAACCAAA
rnacentral:rRNA from 1 species